GACAGCUGACGGGGCUGUAAAUGAGGAGCCGGAAACCGUCCACGUGGGCUAGUUUUGCAGCACGGAUAUUUAGAGCUUAAAGGAUGUCUUCCCCAAGGAUACAAGCAGUAACAGAUGCUGGGGAGGACACUGGUCAGCUCGGCUGUCUGCACACCUAACUUUGUCCCUACAGAGGUUACUUUCAUGAUCCACAUCCCUCCAAGCCAUAUCAAGUGUUACCAACCAUGAAGCUGUUCCUGGUCUGAGACACCUGCCCACCUCCUUUUUAUGUCUUUACAGAUGAUGGUCCUCUUGAGUUAGGCAAGUGAGGAUUCUGCACCCUCCAGAGAGGAGCAUGGAUGGUUUUCUACAGGACACAUGGUGAUGCACAGGCUGAGAUGAUCUCGAGGAUUCUUCUUUUCCAUGUUCCUCUGUUGCUAUGGAUAUGGCUAUUCCCUGUCCACACCAGUCCCAAGCCCAUGGACCACAAGGCACACUAGCCUUUUCAAUUUCAAGACUCCCACAACAAUAGCAUUUUGAAACAAUCAUACUAUAAUGUCUAGAAAUAUUUCAUUUGACUCAAAUGACAUUUGCACAGGAAUCAAACUUAUGUUUAAAAUAGACAUGAUAUUGGGCAUAUUAUUUGGCCAUAUUGAUUUGGUGAGAGGGGAGGCAGCAAGGGGGCUCUAUAUGUUAAGAUCUUUUCUUGUUUUUCUGGAUGCUUUUAUCCUCUCAGACAUGGUCUCAAUGGAUGAAACCAAUGUUCUAGUGUCUUAAAGCAGGAAGUGAGUUCCAAUCAGACAUCAUGCAACAGUAGGGAAGAUGGUCAGUCGUCAAUGCAAAUGUUACAAAGCCCCGAGAUGAAGCCUCCUACACAUACAUAUGGCACAGGGACCUUCCUGCUUGCACAGCUGAGAGGGAAGGAUUCUACGGGUAGACAUGCUUAGCAACUGCUUCUUAGGUGUGUUCUCAAUACCCCUGGCUGGCCCAGGAAGCCUCCCCUUGCCUGCCCACUCUCUAUUAUUAGUUAAAUUCAAAUGUCCUUGAUUUAUAGGGAAGUGGGUUUAGAUAGAAACAGAUGAUGAAAGAUGACAGAGGAAGAGGGUUCUUCUAAAAGGUCAUGUGAUUCUCCUGUGGGCAUAUACGUCAUUCCUGGGCUCAAUGGAUCCUGCAAGGUGGCAUUUGUCACACUUGCUCAUGGCCUGAAGUGUAGAAUCCUUAUAUGUCAAGACUAAAUAUAUUGAAGCAGCCUCCUUUGUAGCUUUUCCUCACAUAAUUUCACUAUGCAUUCAGCUACCUCAUCACAACUUGUAUUAGAGAGUGAAUAAAACCUCUCCCCAAAGCUGGUUUGUAUUAAUCCCAAAGCUCUGCUUCAGUAUGACUAAAAAUUAAUGGUCAGAGUCUGUGUAACGAUCCCUACCCUAGUUUCACUAAGGCCGCUUUACAAACUCUCUCUUGGUGAUAGUAAUUAUCUAAUUGUUUAAGCCACAAGGAGCCUCUGUCACUGGGCGUGGCCCACUGCACACAUCUGGAUUAGUGUGCUUUCUUUAAAGACUAGAAGAGGACAAUUAAGAUAUCAACAGCAUGAAUAUAGGUAUCAAGAAGGAAGUAGAUAAAUCUUGGAUACUUUUCCUUUGGUCUGUGGUAAAUUGGGUAUUUUCCCCAAAUUCCCAACCAGCAGAAUCUAAGACUGAAUCUAAGAUUGGCCUCUUGUUUGAAAAUACAGUCUUAACACUUUGGUUUUGAAAACUUCCCCAACACAGUCUCAGUGUUGAAGCACUGAUUCCCAGAGGUGAGGCUUUCAGAAGGUAAUUAAAUCAUAAGGCUUUAAGCUCAGUGGUAUAACUCACUGAUUAAUUCAUGGCUUAAUGGGCUACUAGGAGGUGGUGGAACUUCUUAGUAGGCCUUCAUAAAGUGGCCUAGCUGGAAGAAGAAGGCCACUAGGAGUGUCUUUUAAAGGACAUAUUUUCUUGUCCUACAUUCUUGCCUCCAUGGCACCCAGAUUGGCUGUACCACAUGCUCCUGGUUGUAACCUCUGUUUCACCGCAGGUCACAGCAAUGGGACUGGCAAUAUCGGUGGAGACAUACGAAAUCAUGAGCCAAGUACAUGGACGGAGACACCUGAAACUGUGAGCCAAGGACAUGGACUGAGACACCUGAAACUGUCACAGAGCUUCCAGGGAAGGCCAUCCCUGUGUGGCACGCGGAACAGUGGAGGCUGAGCUCACGGGAGGAGCACUAUUAGGAGGUGUGGUCUUGUUGGAAGAAGUGUAUCACAGAGGGGCAGGCUCUGAGGUUUCAAAGCUCAAGUCAAGCCCAGAGCCACACUGUCAUCCUGCUGCCUACGAAUCCAGAUGCAGAACUCUCGGCUACCUCUCCUGCACCACGCCCUCCUGCAUGCUGCCAUGCUUCCUGCCACGAUGACAACGGACUAAAACCUCUGAGCCAAAGCUGGCCUCAGUUGAAUGCUUUCCCUUAUAAGAGUUUCUGUGGUCAUGGUGUUUCUUCAUAGCCAUAAAACCUUAUGACAGGCACCACCACCACCCCAAUCACUCCCUGACUCGGCCACUGGGAUCCUGACGCAGGCCCUAGCUGUUCCGUGUCUUCAUCUGUGAACUGAUAAAAUGGUUCCUGCCUACUUCACAGGAUUGCUGUGAAGAAUAAAUAAGCAGAUGAAAUAAACAGUGAAUUUGGGAUCCUGCCUGGUGUAGGGAAUGCUGAAUGUCAUGCAACUCUUUACCUUUCUGGGGUGUUUUAUGACCCACUGGCAAACGCGCACUUGCACAGCAACACCAGCAUGGGGGAAGCUCUUGCAGGCAGGCUCUCAAUUCAACGCAAUAAUGAGCCUGACUCCUGGCUCUGUCACCUAACAGAAAGUGGGAUUUCAGGCAAAUGGUCAACUCUUUCUAGUCCCAAGAAAUUCUACACAAGAAAAUAGAGCAAUAAAAGUGCCAGUGACUCAUGGGGCUUUGCAGAGGCAAGCUACAUACAUUACACAAAUCACCCCCCACCCCCUACACGCACACACUGUGGCACAGAAUAGGCAUUCAGUCAACUCCUGUCUUAUUCUUUUCCCUUUAACCUUCCUGCUUAUUAUAACUGAACACCAUAGUCUUUGCUUUGCUAUUCUGACUUCCUUUUCCAUAUAUUCGAGGGAAUUAAAAUAUAAACCUCAACGACAUAUUGUACUGGCUGGUUUUGUGUCAACUUGACACAAGUUGAAGUUAUCACAGAGAAAGGAGCUUCCGUUGAGGAAAUGCCUCCAUGAGAUCCAACUGUAAGGCAUUUUCUCAAUUAGUGAUCAAGGGGGAAAGGCCCCUUGUGGGUGGGACCAUUCCUGGGCUAGUAGUCUUGAGUUCUAUAAGAGAGCAGGGAAGCAAGCCAGUAAAGAACACCCCUCCAUGGCCUCUGCAUCAGCUCCUGCUUUCUGACCUGCUUGAGUUCCAGUCCUGCAUCCUUUGGUGAUCAACAGCAAUGUGGAAAGUGUAAGCUGAAUAAACCCUUCCCUCCCCAACUGCUUCUUGGUCAUGAUGUUUGUGCAGGAAUAGAAACCCUGACUAAGAUACACAUAUGUUGGCACAAAAACACUUAGAACACUCCCUGUCCCUCUGGAAGGGAAUUCUCUUGUUGCCUAAUGGCCUCUCUUGACUGUUGACUUUUGCAUGUGGAAACUCUGGGUCCUGCUCUGGUUAGGGUCAGGGUUAGCCUGUGCAGGGUAGAGUGCAUGAGAGUGAAGACAGUGCAGGGUAGAGUAGGUGAGAGUUAGCCUGUGCAGGGUAGAGUGGAUGAGGGUUAGCCUGUGCAGGGUAGAGUGGGUUAGGGUGAGGGCUAGCCUGUGCAGGGUAGAGUGGGUGAGAGCAAGCCUGUGCAGGGUAGAGUGGGUGAGGGGCUGAGGCAAUUCAGCAUUAGGAAGGAGUGGGUGUGGAACCAGAAAACACAGCACAAGUGAAGACCACAGGAGGGAGUCACUGUGUGCAGAGAAAUGGAGUGCACGGUAAGGACCAGCAUAAUGCCUAAGGUUUUCUCUGCCUGCGAAUGGAGUAGCAAAGUUAGGUCCAAACCCAGCCCCACAGGAGAUUCGAGACACCCGAGCGGCCAAGACCUGAAACUUGGGAGCGUGAGUGUCUUUCACACUUGAAGAAAUGAAGCAAGGCGAGGAGAAUAUCCCGAGCCCCUCCUCUCCAUCCUCAGCACUGCCCUUUGGUUCUGGUGGUCAAGUGGGCAGGGAUGACUGCCAGCCCCUGCCUAGCAUUACACCUCCAGCCAGGAUGUCCUGCCUCUUGGCUUCAUAUUAAGAGGGUCAUAGCUCACCCACAGAGUCUAAACCAGGCUAAGACAGAAACACACACCAAUUUCUUCAGUUGUAGCAACUCCCAGCUCUCGAGGGUUCUGGGACCUCAGCUUUCCCCCUUUUAUUUACUUCAUAAAAGGGGAGUUUGCACCCACUAAUCUCUGUAAGUAGGUCCAUAUUUUCCGAGAUCACCUCAAAAGAUGACUAUUUGAAUAAGGUGAAAUUAUUAUUUGUCAGAGAAUUUAAUCAUAUUUAUUUUUCUUGAUAUUUUGUGUAAAGUUUCACAGUGCCUUUGGUUAGCAGCAUGUAGCUAAGGAAACUUUAGUGUCUUUUUCAGUAUUGGUUCAGUUGACUGUUCUUUCUCUAACAACUAAAUCUCCUUUGACUCUGAAAGCUACUGUGUGAAGUAAUAAGAGGAACAAGAGAAUAUGACAUAUUCUCCGACUUCGCAGAGUUAAGACUUAUUUGUAGGUACAGUGUAGCUAGCACCCUCCUUCUCUACCGGUGGGCACACUACACCCUACUCUAUCUCACUCCCAAAUCCUUCCAACUGGAAGAACACUUAUAUGCAUUCACGUGGAUGCGGGGUUUUAUCAUGAUGAUCAUUCAUUCUGUACUCACAUACUUUUAUUCUCGUUAAUUAAAGUUAGAAAACACAUUGGGCUGACAAGAUGCAUGCCUAGCAGCAUGAGACCGUGGAUUCAGUCCUCAGUACACGCACACACACACACACACACACACACACACACACACACACACACAGAGAGAGAGAGAGAGAGAGAGAGGGAGAGAGAGAGAGAGACAGAGAGAGACACAGAGAGAGACAGAGAGAUACAGAGAGAGAGAGGCUUUAGCAUGGUGGCAUAGUCUCUUGAUCCCAGCAUGGCAGGGGCAGGAAGGGCAGAGGCAAAGGGGACAGGUGGAUCCCUGUGAGCUUGAGGCCACCUUGUCUAUAGUUCCAGGUCAGCCAUAGCUGCACAGUGAGGCUGUGUAGCUGAAUAGUGAGACUCUCAGAAACAGGGGAGGGGCUAGACAAUCUGGUGACAACCCAACCCCGGGUGCCUUAGUCUCCCUUCUCUAGCGGUUCGGAGUCCAUAGCUAUGUAUGAGUCCCCACAUAGAAGAGGUACAAUGAAGAUGAUGAAGGGAAACACAUACAAGGAAAGGAAGGACAGAUGAUGCCACACUAGGGUGCUGUGCGGCAGGCACACCACUGGGAGGUACUGAGCCACAGCAAGACAAGGGAGUGACCAGCAACCCCACAAGGCGGUUUUUGUUUGUUUGUUUGUUUGUUUGUUGCUAAGCAGUAGAAAGUAGAGGAACAUAUUCAGAGAAAUGUACUCUUCUUGGGUUUUAAUUUUUUUUCUGGAAAACACAACAUGGCUGACCUGUGAGGAGAGGGGUGGGGGAGGGAGCAGUGGGCGGAUUGCUCGUAGCCGUGGAGCAGAAGCAGCUCUUGAACUGUGUUUUCUGACUUCCUACCUGUACCUUCUCAUGUGAGCUAGGGAAAAGUCACUCGGCAGUGAGAACUGAUGGGCAGAAAUUAGGUGACAAGAGAUGGACUAUGGAGUAGCCAUCUUGUCACAACUUGCUAUAGAAGGACAUCAGUUUUGACUAAGGCUUCUCCAGGGGAAAAGUCCAGUUGUGACAGCAUCGUCCAUACAUUCCUGAGUGUCCCUGGUGUCAGGCAAAAAUAGCUACCUCUCCGCACCUCAAUUUGACAUGCAGUUGCCUUGCAGACACGGCUGCAUAUUCUGAUGGAGGGUGUGUGUUGAUCUCUCUUGAAUUUUGGGCACUGGAGAACAUGCACCCAGUAUGAACCAUUAUUGUCACAGGCAUCCCAAUCAAGCAGAUGGUCGGACUGAAGCCGCUAUGCUGCAGAGUCUUGGUAACAAGACAGUCAUUCAAUAAAUGUUUAUUGACCAUGGCCGUUGUGCACGAUACUGUAGCCAAGCCAGAUUUCCUAUUACUCAGUGUGCUGCCCCACGUAAUGAGAAAGUUGGUCUUGUUGAAUUCCUAAUGAAGAGAUGGCUCAAAUCAUACCUCAGAGGUUGCCAAGGAUGUAAGGAGCAAAAAGAAUUUAUCCUGGUUAUAGCUGUCUCUACGUAUUCAUAAUUCAGGGAAUGAAUUCAGUUUCACUAAAACCCCUUCGUCUGUUCACUUGUACAUCCACGGCUAAAUAUCUAUCAAGGUCCUAUGACAUCCUAGCCAUUGCUUAUGUGCUGCUGGAGACGUCGGCUUUGGGCAACAUGAAGGUGGCAGGUUUUGCAGUAAAAUGAAGGCUUGUCUUGUAGAUUCAGUUGGUUACAUAGUAAUUAGCACUUACUGAAGUUACUGCAGAAUAAACCCAGUCAGACUGUGAUGAAAAGGAAUUGCUACAAUGUAGCUGAAAUUACAAAGCAUUCAUUUCAUUAAAUCCAGAGCUGGGAUUAAGGAAGCCUUGGCCCAGAAGCUACCCCAGAACGAGCAGAGAAGAGGCUGAGCCAUCGAGAGAGCUCCUUCAAGGCCCUAGGUUCACUCUUUUCUAUCUUACCUUCUGAAGUCCACAGUACCACGCAGAGAGAGCAGAGCAAACCUGGCCCAGCACCUUCUGAGGCAGUGUUCCCAGCAGCAUAAGACAGAGGGCCACUGUGGCUUGUGUUCGGCUUACAGGAAAUGCUCACUGAGGAGCGAAGGAGCUGCAGAGACCCAGGCUCCUGCUGCUCAGCUGCAAACCCUCAGUGCUCUGCUUCCUAGAUUAUUUUUAAACUUUAAAAAAGAAAGUCUACAAGAAAUCUCCUGAAGAAAUCACAAAAUGGAAAGCAAAAUAAACUUGAUCACAACAAAAACCAAACAAAUCUAACUACAAAAUCUUGGUCAUCUAACAUAGAUGACUUUCCUAAAGUCAUCUUUACCCAUCCUGCUGUUUAAUUUUUUCUUAGCUUUAUUCCCAUUGCCGGUCUCUGCUCGCAAUCUGUUCCAUCCCCACUUUGAAACCUCUGAUGCCCUCAGCUCUGGAGUGGCACAGCCCCCCAGGCUCUUUGAAUAGGGAAACUUACGAUGAUAAAGGAAUAUAUGUCAUGUCAUUUCUUGCAUCCCCCUUUAAAUGCUAUGUGACACACCACUUUCAUUUACGAAAUACUUGUAAAUAGUCACUCAGGGGUCCUUAUGUGAUAUCUGUGUGGAUAAGAAAAGUGCAGUGAGGAGGACUAUGAAAUAAUGCUCACAUGGAACAGUGCGGCUUUGAUACCAGAAAAGCAGCAUUGUACAUACGCAUGCAUCGAAGUCUCUAGUUACAGCAGGAAUUUGGAGAGGGCUAACAAUAUAUUGCUUUUUUUUUUUUUUUUUUUUACAAAAGAAAUUUACUGAUGCUCUUGUGAAUCUUGGAAAACAGAUGCAUGACUCAUGGGCUGACACACUUGUGUGUGUCUCACUACCCACAGGGGCUACAUGGAGUCAGGGUGGUGGUGGUGGUGGGGUUGCUGCUGUUCAUACACUCGUGUGAAGGUUGGACUCACAGACAAUCCCCCAAACUGCUCAAAUAGUAAUAAAAUGUAGUGAGAUGAAUGUAAUGAUGGAUUUGAGAUUAAGAAUACUCAACUAUGAAAAAUUUAAAAGAAACAUCAAGAUAUUAGAAAGCCAGCACAACAGAAAUAGGUAGAGAGCUGGUGGCAGCCCAUGUGGUGGGUGAGAAGCAUGGGCCAUGUGUAGCCAUGGGUGUAGUCAAACCUUCCACUGGAAUUGAAAUGUCCUUUUGAGUGAAACAUUGACAGGCUGGGAAAAAUCUCCACCUUAUAUUCCUGAUUUCCACUCUCCACAGCGCAUUUCCACAGAGCCUUAACAGCUGUGUGCAGGCCUGUUCCAGCCUGGCUCCCUGCGUCUCCAUAAGUUGGGCCUUUGUCCGUGUUUCUGUCCCACCUGUUGUGCUGCUGCAGUUCCCACUAGCUGACUUCUGGGUGCUGAGCAAGAACCAUUUCUGGGAUCCUCUACUCAGAGGCAGCCCUCCUGCUUCCACAGUCUUCAGCCAUGAUUUACUUGUGAUGACUGCUUUAGCCUCAGUAAAGGUUCUUCUCUGAUGGCCUGCAUGCUCACCGAAUGGAAUUUUCCUCGUGUCAGGAUUUGACAACUGUCUCUGUUCUUAUGUCAUCUCCCAUCUAUGCCAACAAGUGGUACACGGAAGCCCUCAUGCUGACAAGGGGACUCUCAUUCCUCCCUGAUGUAAUAUGUAUCCCAGGCGGCAGGCUGGUACAGCUGUUAGGAUGUUGUUAGGAUUCUUUUGUUCAUAAGUGGAGUGAAACCCAUACCACAUUGCGCAAUAGACUCCUGAUGUGGUCAUUCACUUGGAUGAUCAUCAACGUUAACACCAACCAGUGCUCUGCCUCUGACCAAGGGCCUUCAGACUGAUUCAAUAAAAUAUAGGAAAUAUAAUCCCGGAGACAUCUCGAGGCCUGCCAGCAUUCUCUGCUAAAUUGGUAUGUGUAUCCCUGGAUAACACACUAGCUGUAGUCAUCAGUAAUGCCUAUUUAAGCUGUGAAACCUCAGAGCACAGGCCAGCGCUAGGAUGCUUCUGUCUAGAACCAGUGAGCAGGGUGUGGCCUGUGCAGCUGUAGCCUCUGCUCUGAUUAUUUGGCUCUUGCCUCAGAAGUUUACCUUAGACUUUCUGUAGAAAAUGAAGUGUAGGUCAUGUUGUCAAAUUUGCAGACUUUUUUUGGAGGUCCCCCAAAGGCUGGGACACUCUCCCAGGACUCUGACUUUGGCUAUGACCUGUCAUAUGACACUGGAGAACAGCCAGGGUGCUUACCACAUCCAGUGCUGCAGAGGAAUCUGUGGGGAGGUUUGCAUAGCUCCCUGCUGCUCUUUGAACACAGAGUCCCAAUGUCUAACAACCCAAGAAAUUCAGAGGCAAACUAAUUUUAUAAAGAUGAGAUAGCACAUUGUUUGAUGCCUUUCUGGAAGUACUCAAGGGAUGGUCACACCACACCACACACACACACACACACACACACACACACACACACACAGAGGAACAUUAUUCAGUCCUAAAAAUAGAAUCAGAUCUUCUCAUUUGUGGCACACGCCAAAACAGAACUCCGAGGGAGCUAUGGUAAGUGAAGUGAGCCAGAAUGAAUACCACAUGUUCUCCUUCAUAUGAGGGUUAAAAAGUUGAUCACUUUAUUCUGCAAUAACAAACCCCACUAAUUACAGUAGAGUGAAUUAUCUGCAUGGAGAUGACAUCUAUUUAAACCCAACACUGAAAUGGUGAAGGAGAACAUGGAUCUCAUGUUCCAGUCGCUAACUAAAUUCUGUCAGGGCUACAUGGUAGCUUCCAUGUUGGCAGGGUAAAGGUCUUAGGACCAGAGAGUCAACCGAACGAGUGACAUCACGGUAAGGAAGGCAAGAGAGUCAAAAACGCUCUGCAACUCCGAGUGUGUGCAGUAUUUAAGCUGGCUAAGGACAAGGGGAACCGAAGUGGUCUGGAAGGUUCUCUGCUGUCUGUAAUAGACACUAGUGGAUGGCAUGGUGUGAGAGUUACCAGUGGUAUAAACUACUACAGCCAAGACAAGUAAGACACAGAGAGGGAGGAUCAGUCUCCUGCCAACUGGGACAUGAGGAACAUCAAGUGGCUUUAAUAAACCACUCCCGGACACUGCAGCGUGAGAGCCAUCAGACUGGGGGCAGCAAAGCUAAGUCAAGUGCAGUCACCUUGUGUUAACUACUUCAAAUUGCUAGACUUUCCUGAAAACAGAAAGCAGACUAACAUACGGUUGAUAGAAUAGGACAUUAAAGCCUUCAUGAAAUGAGGGCACUUCACCGCAUCCAGAAGCAAACAGGCUCCACCUGUCAUCCAGAUGAGUCCGGUUUAAGGAAGGUAACAGACAAGACACGGGGCAGAUUGUGGCAUCUCAGCCCAAACAAAAGCCCGAUACCCUCCCACCCCCCAAAUUUCAGCCUUAGGGUUUGGGCAUUUAUUCACAGAAACUGAGGUAAAGGACUGGCACAUGGUCAAAGAAAUUUUUUUAAAAUCAAAUAAAUCUUGCACUUUAGCUUGGAUUUAAAAUUUGUUUCUAAACAAGCACUUAGAAGCCUUGGGCAGCAAUAAGACGGAAGGCAAUUUCCAGAGACUAAUGGAGCAGCUACAGGGAGUGAGUGGAGAUGGGGGCUGUGUAAUGAACAGAGCGUUUUCUUUCAGAAGUAGUUAUAAAAUAGCCCCUCUCUGAUGAAACUGCAGGCAAGGACAUGCGGGAGUUUCGUUAGAGCCCAGAUAAGCUCAUGUUUGUGUUACCACAGAUUCAGAGGGAGAAGACACAUAGAGCGGAAACCAAAGCUAAAGUCUGAAGGACUGAAGGAAAGAGCCCGUCACAGGCCGUCAUGGGUGUGUGCCCGGGAAUCUAACUACUAAAUAGGAUAAACGGCAGCAGAGUUUGUGGACUAGUGAGCUUACUUAAUGCCAAGUCUUAACUUGGUCCAUGGAAAAUCUUCAUAGAAUUUUUUCUUUUUGUCUCUUAUGUUAGAAGGGAUUUAAUUUUUCUAGGUAAACAUAAAAGGUAGAAAAAUGAAGACUUUGAUUAAAAAGCCUAUUUCAACACUCUCACCCUCAAAUCAUUUUCAGUGGGCCCAUAUAAAAAUGAUUAAGGGAGCCGGGCAUGGUGGCACAUGCCUUUAAUCCCAGCACUUGGGAGGCAGAGGCAGGUGGAUUUCUGAGUUCGAGGCCAGCCUGGUCUACAGAGUGAGUUCCAGGACAGCCAGGACUACACAGAGAAACCCUGUCUCGAAAAACAAAACAAAAAAAGAUUAAGGGACUAACACUCUGAUUUUAGACAAUGACAAUUUUUGAGAAAUGUCUUUGAUUAAAACCAUAUUUGAAGAAAAAGGAAAAUUACCAUUGCUGAUCACAUAACCAUGGUAUCCUCUCCUGUAUGGAUAAUUAGGAUAACUUAUUCUGGAUUCUGAAAUAUUAACCGAUUUUCAAAUUUUGCUUUCAUGUUUGCUCCUUAGAAUUUUAGAAGGCUUAAUAAUUUAAUCAUUCAGUUAUUUGAUCUGAUGUUUAUAUAAUUCCAGAAAGUGAUUGUCUUAGUCAGGGUUUCUAU